AUUGAACGCUGGCGGCAUGCUUUACACAUGCAAGUCGAACGGCAGCGCGGGCUUCGGCCUGGCGGCGAGUGGCGAACGGGUGAGUAAUGCAUCGGAACGUGCCCAGUAGUGGGGGAUAGCCCGGCGAAAGCCGGAUUAAUACCGCAUACGACCUGAGGGUGAAAGCUGGGGACCGAAAGGCCUCGCGCUAUUGGGGCGGCCGAUGUCGGAUUAGCUAGUUGGUGGGGUAAAGGCUUACCAAGGCGACGAUCCGUAGCUGGUCUGAGAGGACGACCAGCCACACUGGGACUGAGACACGGCCCAGACUCCUACGGGAGGCAGCAGUGGGGAAUUUUGGACAAUGGGGGCAACCCUGAUCCAGCCAUGCCGCGUGCGGGAAGAAGGCCUUCGGGUUGUAAACCGCUUUUGUUCGGGAAGAAAUCCUCUGGGCUAAUACCCCGGGGGGAUGACGGUACCGGAAGAAUAAGCACCGGCUAACUACGUG
rnacentral:rRNA from 1 species